UGGCAGUGACGAAGCAUGAGUUUAUCCGCGCUUCUGAAAAGCCGUGAUGACAUUUACUCUUAUGGUUGAAUUUCUUGAUCCGAGCCA
rfam:Gonium pectorale scaffold00007, whole genome shotgun sequence.